ensembl:lncRNA
GACUGAGCGUGCGUAAGAGGGAGGCGGAAAUCGGAAGUUCAAGGCUGGCUCUCUCCUUAGUGGGCGAGUUUUCGCAGGGGUGUUGGGUCGGUCACCAGUGUCUGAGGCGCACCGUGUUGGUGUCUGCCUUUCUCUGUUGCGGUCGCGCGACUCUGACUGAGCAGGAAUCGCUCUGACGAGGCCGAGUUGCAGUCUGCAGGUAGGCCGCGGGCCGGGCGGCCAGACUCCCCUGUUUCCCCUCUCCCUCGCCCGCUCAGCUGCUCUGCGCACCGCACCGCGCACCUCCGCUCCGUGCUCCGCCUCCUUGCUCCGUGCCCCUCCGUUCCCCUGUCCACCGCACUGCACUCCCCUGCUCCGCGCAUCGCGCGCCUGUUUCCUUGAGAGCGCGCGGUUCCGGGACCGUGCGCUGUGCUAGCUCCUGCCGGGUCCCAGGCUGUCAUGACCUUGACCUCCCUUCUAAAUAAGACCGCCCCAACCCCACAGCCUUCCGCCAGCUCCUCACGGUCCCUUACAGCCGCUUCUCUGCGGUCCUCGCCACCUUCUGUGAUCUAACAGGGGAAAGACAUGCCGUCUGCCAAGCAGCUAGCCGACAUUGGCUACAAGACCUUCUCUGCCUCGAUGAUGCUCCUCACUGUGUACGGGGGCUACCUCUGCAGCGUACGAGCCUACCAUUACCUCCAGCUGCGCAGUGCCAGGCGCCAGGCCGCGGAAGAGCAGAAGACCUCAGGAGUCCUGUAGAGCUCAGCUCUUCCUUUGGCGCAGCCGACGCAUGAGGCAUGAGGCAUGAAACGGGAAAAGACCUCCCGGAAUGCCAUCCGUGGCGAGAACUAGGCCACGAUGCCUUUCAAACCUGCCGUGGUUUCUGUGGUACUGCUGGCUUGUGUCAUUUUGAUGAUUUAUGGAGGCCAUCAAAGUAAAUGGGAACGUGAGGGUGAGGUUCAAUACAGAGAUUAAAUAUUUUGCUUUGUUUGUGUUUAGUGUUUCUAUGUACCCAAAGAGUGUAUGGAUCAUAGAGGUGGGGACCUUGAGUUCUCUAAAGCCUGGUCUCUGUCUUAUUUUGUUUGUUCAAGACAGGGUCUCUUUAUGUGGCCCUAGCUGUCCUGGGACUCUAUAAAAAAGACUAGGCUAGCUUGAACUAAGAGAUUCUCUUUCCUGUACCUCCCACGUGUUGGAAUUAAAGGCCUGCGCCAUCAUGUCUAGCAAUACCUUUCUUGUUGCUGUGAAGACACCAAGACACCUCUGAAGUCACCUCAGAGAAGGGUUUAUUUGGGGUAUAUAGUCUCAGAGGGGUCCACGACCACCAUGGUAGGAAGCGUGGCAGCAGGCCGGCAGCCAUGGCCCUGGAGAAGCUGAGGACUUACAUCUGGUCCAUAGGCAUAAGGCAAGAGCUAUCUGGGAAUGGCUGGUUUAUGAAACCUCAAAACCAUCCCCCUGGGGACACACCCCUUCUGACAAGGUCACAUUCUCAACUCUUCCCAAACUGUUCUACCAUUUGGAGACCAAAUAUCAAAUUGAUGAGCCUAUGCGGGCCAUUCUGGGGUUUCUGGGCCUUAGUGUUCAUCACCGUGAAUCUAGACACCGAGUUUUAGCAGUAGUAUCAUAGGGGAAAUCUGCUUUUGCGUAUUUGCCUAACAGUUUUGGUCAGAGGACACGGGAACCUUGUGCGUACUGUACAUAAGCAUGCACUCUACUGCUGAGACACACCUCCAGCCUCUGUCCUAGCAUUUAUGUUACAGAAGACCCUUGAAAACUCCCUGUGCAAGGGACCAUGUCUGACGGACUAGUACGUCUAAGGAACGGGGUGCUCUGGUCAGCACGGCCAUUCAUGUACCUCUGGCUCAGCGAAGACAGAUGUGGAAGGGGGCUAGCUCACAAAGGAAGGGUUGCUGGCUAUCAUGUAAGACAGUUCAUUUGAAGCCAGCAGCAGAAGGGUGGAUUUUGAACCCUGCUGCUUAGAGCGUAGUGAGUCUGCACGUAGCUCUAACAGAGAAGGACAGAUGAUUCAGAAGGUGGCUCAGUGGGAGCUGAUCGCCAAACCUGACGACCUGAAUUUGAUCCUGGACACCUGCAUGAUGGACAGAGCAUGGUCUGUGUGACCCCACCAAAUAAAUGUUAAAAAAAAAUAUGUUCAAGUAAAGCCUCAGCCAUACUUAGUUUUUCUGAGUCCGAGUCUCUUGCCUUGACCUUGCAGUGACCCUUCUGCCUCUGCUCCUUGGGAGUGGAGAGUACAGUUGCAUUUUUAUUAUUUUCUACAUUACAAACCCAUACCUAACAAAGACGUGAGAGCACUUGGCUCUGGCAGAGGACCCAGGUUCACUUCCCAGCACCCACUGGCGAUAAUGAACCAUCGGUGAUCCAGACUUAAAAGAUAGGACUCCCUCUUCUGGC